GGUAUCAGAAGUGCGAAUGCUGACAUAAGUAACGAUAAAGCGGGUGAAAAGCCCGCUCGCCGGAAGACCAAGGGUUCCUGUCCAACGUUAAUCGGGGCAGGGUGAGUCGACCCCUAAGGCGAGGCCGAAAGGCGUAGUCGAUGGGAAACGGGUUAAUAUUCCCGUACUUGGUGUUACUGCGAAGGGGGGACGGAGAAGGCUAUGUUGGCCGGGCGACGGUUGUCCCGGUUUAAGCGUGUAGGUGUGUGUUCCAGGUAAAUCCGGUUCACUUUAACACUGAGGCGUGAYGACGAGGCACUACGGUGCUGAAGCAACAAAUGCCCUGCUUCCAGGAAAAGCCUCUAAGCAUCAGGUAACAYSAAAUCGUACCCCAAACCGACACAGGUGGUCAGGUAGAGAAUACCAAGGCGCUUGAGAGAACUCGGGUGAAGGAACUAGGCAAAAUGGUGCCGUAACUUCGGGAGAAGGCACGCUGACACGUAGGUGAAGUGAUUUACUCAYGGAGCUGAAGUCAGUCGAAGAUACCAGCUGGCUGCAACUGUUUAUUAAAAACACAGCACUGUGCAAACACGAAAGUGGACGUAUACGGUGUGACGCCUGCCCGGUGCCGGAAGGUUAAUUGAUGGGGUCAGCGCAAGCGAAGCUCCUGAUCGAAGCCCCGGUAAACGGCGGCCGUAACUAUAACGGUCCUAAGGUAGCGAAAUUCCUUGUCGGGUAAGUUCCGACCUGCACGAAUGGCGUAAUGAUGGCCAGGCUGUCUCCACCCGAGACUCAGUGAAAUUGAACUCGCUGUGAACGUKGACCCGURAUCCGGGUUGCGGACAGUGUCUGGUGGGUAGUUUGACUGGGGCGGUCUCCUCCUAAAGAGUAACGGAGGAGCACGAAGGUUGGCUAAUCCUGGUCGGACAUCAGGAGGUUAGUGCAAUGGCAUAAGCCAGCUUGACUGCGAGCGUGACGGCGCGAGCAGGUGCGAAAGCAGGUCAUAGUGAUCCGGUGGUUCUGAAUGGAAGGGCCAUCGCUCAACGGAUAAAAGGUACUCCGGGGAUAACAGGCUGAUACCGCCCAAGAGUUCAUAUCGACGGCGGUGUUUGGCACCUCGAUGUCGGCUCAUCACAUCCUGGGGCUGAAGUAGGUCCCAAGGGUAUGGCUGUUCGCCAUUUAAAGUGGUACGCGAGCUGGGUUUAGAACGUCGUGAGACAGUUCGGUCCCUAUCUGCCGUGGGCGCUGGAGAACUGAGGGGGGCUGCUCCUAGUACGAGAGGACCGGAGUGGACGCAUCACUGGUGUUCGGGUUGUCAUGCCAAUGGCACUGCCCGGUAGCUAAAUGCGGAAGAGAUAAGUGCUGAAAGCAUCUAAGCACGAAACUUGCCCCGAGAUGAGUUCUCCCUGA
rnacentral:rRNA from 1 species